rnacentral:rRNA from 1 species
AUGGCGACCGGCGCACGGGUGAGUAACGCGUAUCCAACCUGCCCUUUACCAUGGGACAGCCCGUCGAAAGGCGGAUUAAUACCGUAUGUUGUCAUGUUGAUGCAUAUUUUCAUGACCAAAGGCUUCGGCCGGUAAAGGAUGGGGAUGCGUCUGAUUAGCUUGCCGGCGGGGUAACGGCCCACCGGGGCGACGAUCAGUAGGGGUUCUGAGAGGAAGGUCCCCCACAUUGGAACUGAGACACGGUCCAAACUCCUACGGAAGGCAGCAG